GGACAACGGAGCCUGCUUUAGUCCACUGGGCUUUGCGUGAAGGCCCUUUAAAGGAACAGCGGCCUGGAUCCAGCAGCGCCUUGGAGAAGAUGCUGUGACCGUAACUGCAACGGUUUGUUAGUUGUUCCUUCGAGUGUGCCUUUAUUUAUGGACCAUCCGGAACAGAUCUAAGCAGUCUAUAGCAGAGGCUGCUAAAGCAACCAGAUGGCGCAAGCAGGUCCAGGCCGCCAAGCGUUUACUACCUCCUUAUCUUCUACGAUUCGACAACGGAAAAAGCCCCUGCCGUCGACUAACACCAAAUUAUUCCUACGACAACGCAUCGAUGCCCCAGCAGCUCGUUCAACCGGAAGCGAGCUAUCAACAGCCCAACGUAGAUCUAAUCAGCAAAACGCACAACCAUUUGUGGGAUCAUCGAACAUCUAAGUGUAUCGUUCCGGCCCUUCAAUGUCUGCGAUUUUUACAAAUUAAUUGCUACCGAUUUUAAUAGGAAUAGUUAUUACCAUUGUUAUUGUUAUCGCUGCUGUUUGUGUUUACAUAUUUGGUGAAAAAAUAAAUGUAGUUGUUAUUAUUCAAAAGCAGAACACGUAAUAUCACGGCGACAGCUGAAGCCACUUCAAGCGUUUGCAUGAACGGGGACGAUGAGGAGAUAUCUCUGAACGCGAAAUUAUUUGAAUGCAUUAAUACAGUGAUAGAGAUAUCAUAAAUAGGCCUCUAGUUGUCACAGGGGAUGCCGCUGAUAGGUUACUACCGUUUCGUUGCCUACCUCCCGGGUCCGAGAAUUCAUAGUUAGUACCUUCUCGAUCGCAAAAUGACAUUUUAACUAUUUAACGUAAUCGUGCCUGACAUCCCAGAAGUAGAUGUUUCCCUCGAAUAGCCAUGAUCUAGCUUUAAUACGGUCAAUGGUUCAUUAAUGAGGGUUCGAAUCGGAUAGGGUAAUAAUCGGAUUCUACGAAAGUAUGUGAGUCAUAUAGUCUCUGACUUAUAUCGCUCCAAAAAUCUAUGCUUGUACAGCUUACCAUACUAGUAUAAUAUAGGGUCUCUGUUACUUAUGUACUUUGAUUUGAGAUAUCUAGUCUGCAGUAUGACUAAGAUGUUAAGCACUCAUCAUCGACCAGAGAAUUGUGUACUAUGUGCAUGAACGUUUAUAAUCAUUCAUCGAGUUCCUAUAUCAUCAUCGAGUUAGUCGAGAAUGGUACGGGUCUUCCAUCACUCAUUACAACCGAAGUCUUCCCCAGUGUGUCGCGUUUCGUCUAAACGUGACACUCGUAUUAAGCUUUUCCAUACACGUUCGACACGAAGCAUUCGUGUUUCUCUCUAGGCGGUAUGACUUUUCACUUACUACUAGCAUCUAGUAAAAUAGGUAGGUUGGGCAAUUGAAAGCGGACAGGUAACUUGAAGCCAGUUACCCUUCAAUUGAAAACAUAUUAGAUGGAAAAUGUUCUCGUGCUUAAGCAACUCCCGCCGUUCUUCUAAAUCUGAUGACAGUCGUAUGAAGGCAUCUUUGAAGAAAGACUGUUGAAAAUAUGGGCUAGGCCACGCAGUUGUGGUAAACAACAUGAAGUCGCAUCGGCCUAUGCAAAACGUUGGGCUUGAGUGUUUCAUGGCCUUUUUUAAGCCGACAAAGAAUUGCGGCUCAACGCUUCGCUCGGUAUUGGCCGUCAUGCGACCACAAUAACAACUUUUUUUGCACAGAAUUCACCAAUAACGGGAACUUCAGUCGAAAGGCCAAAGCUUAGAGCCCAAGUAGAUCUCUAUCGAAAAAAAGAAGGUUAUGCUGAGUUUGAUUCACUGGGAACUGUUUCAUACGAGCCAGACAAUUGAUCGCCACGUUUGUUUGUUUCAGUUAUAUCGAGUUAAGUAGGACGGACAUUCAAGAGGAACGCGACAGACAAGCUCAAGCCCUUCUGCUCCGUGACGACGCGAGAGACGCUUACUUCGAAUAGGAGGAUUGGCUGCAUCUUACAUAUUCUUCGAAUAUUGAGCCGGUGGAUUUUCAACUUUAUCAUUCACAGCCAAAUCACUGUCGCGGCCUUCUUCAACAUGUAUCAACAACGCAAAAUGUAGUUGGAGGAAACCUUCGUGACGAGACACAUGGAUCGAUCCUGCGAUAACUUAGACUGAAGAUUUUUGCUCACGUCAACACCGUAAUACGUCCGUUGAGUAAGCGAUUUUGAUCGUGUUGCGUGCGUGUUAGUGAAAGGGAAGAGCCGUUCUCGUGACACAGUGAUAUCCAACCAUUUAUGUUUAUUAGAUGGUUUUAAAUCAUUGAGCGGACGUACUCUACUAAUGUCUAUCUGUAUAAAAUGUAUCCGACAAAGGAAGAUCGCAAAUUUAGCCAGCAAUUUUCAUAAACUUCACUAGAGUUUGGAUAUGUUCGAUGGAUAUUUAUGUAUAGCGCUAGAGUACCCUGCAAUUUGUUUUAUAGGUAAUUUUAUGUCAUCGUCUUUACAGAUCAUUAACGUUUAUCAUGUCACUGUGUGAAUGAGAGCGUUAGCCGAUUUGAGUUUCAGCUCAUUUCGUAUCGAAAUCAAUUCUAUCAAACGACUGCUCGCCGUAGCGUCGAUGCGUCUAAGUACGAAGCUUAGGUCGAUCCUGAAAUCGGUGAACCUGGCUGUCUAUCGAUUUGUAAGCACGAACGGCUCGGUCUGAUUUCGAGUUGUUCAGAGCCAGCGUACUCAACAAUCUACUUGAUUCAAUGUUUAAAAUAAUGCUACGUAGCUGUAUUUUAUCGUUUUGUUAGACGAAGUAGAUCUUUUUAUUGAUGACACUUCGUUUCCGCGGAAAUUAUCGCUAAACACAACUCGAUUCGGAGCUCAGCAGGGCACACUGGCCCUUGGCACCUUCUCACGAAGAUAGUUUCCUGCCAUAAACUGCAGGUUUAUAGAACGUGUUGCCUCCUCUUUAUUUAUAUCGAGUGUUUAACAACAUGUUGUUGUUAAACCCAUUAUCGUAUGCCAACGAGCAUGAUGAUUCUGCCGUAGGUUGGGAUCCAAUGCACAGGACCUGAACGAGAGAAGGAUGCUUAUAACUAUGUGGUCAUCACUGAGACAGUCACUGCACGAGGACAUCAAAAAAAUUCGGGAAGGUCGUGUUAAGAUGCUAUUCGUGCAUUUCAGGCUUGUUUAAUGAGUACAAAUCAAGGCGCACUAUUGAUGGCAUCCUUCUCGAGCCCAUCUAUUUACAUACCGGAUAAGGCAAGAUAAUAUGGACAUUCUGAAAAACGCAUCUCCCCCCAACUGAGUAGUCUUCAUUUCACAUAUGUUAAGGCGGCGGAAGGUACGCAACUUGUUGCUGUACGAAGCUGUAGUUCUUUUAUCCCAUCUCCAUAUUCCCUUAAUGCUAUUUUAUACGCACACUAUAGGAUAUUUUGACAUUAAUCAAUGGACCAUUUGAAUCCCGAUGGCGGCCGUCGUCGUUGUUGUGGCUGAUCCUUUUCAGACAUAUAUUAACUCUAUGGCGAUAUAACAUUGUAUCAUAGAAAUAACAUUACAUUACUUGCGUUACAAAUGAAUUGCUCGCUUCCGUUUGUAGGAAUCAUUAACGUGUCUCGCACCACGUCAACGGAUGCGACGUCAACAUUUUUCUAUUACCGGUUUUUGGA
rnacentral:lncRNA from 11 species